AUUCACUAAAACAUUCUGAACAUUGAAUAACCUGAUAUAUCAUUCACUAUUUACAUAAACAUCUUCUUAAAAGUAUAACUGCUAUACCAUUCACUAAAACAUUCUGAACAUUGAAUGACCUGGAAGGAGAAUGUUCAAAUGUAAUAUGAAAGCCUUUUCAUUAAUAGAAACCAUAAAUACAGUUAAUCACGAUGCAACUUGCAUCAAAUUACAAAAUCAGUCAGUCCUAGUUCAAUUACAAAAACAAAACAAAGUGUCUCCCAAAACACAAAAUCAGUAUUCCAAUACACAAGAAUUUGAGAUUACGGAAUCCUCCCUACUCCGUCUGCCAUCGGUCUCCCUUAAAUGCAUCAUCUUUCAACUUAAGGAUCUCAAGAUUUUCCAACAUUCCUAGAGUAGACAUUGAUCCCAAUCAAGCAGGGUGCCUGACAUCGUCAGCUUCUUUAUAUUUGGUGGAAAUGCAUCAACUUGGUGGGAAUGCAUCAACUUGGGGUAGGUUAAGACAAAAAAAUAAAAUAAAGCCAACUGAAGACUUUGGUUUUACA
rnacentral:lncRNA from 1 species